AAACCACAUUACAUUUAAUUGUCAUGUCUACUCUUGGCUGUGACAAUUUCUCAGGCUCCUCUGGUCUUUGAUGAACUUGGCAGUAUUAAAGAGUACUGAUGGAUUCUCACUCUGUGGUGCAGGCUGGAGAAGAGUGGCAUGAUCUCAGCUCACUGCAACCUCUGCCUCCCAGGUUCAAGCGAUUCUCCUGUCUCAGCCUCCCAAGUAGCUGGGAUUACAGAAAAAUCUGGCUUUGUGUCACCGGGUGACUAAGCAACAGGACGGGAUAUAAAAUUGAUGAUGAAUAUGAAAAUCAGACACAGAGCCAUGACAAAAACCCAACCAAUGAAAGAAACCAGAAAACAAAAACUUGGAAGUCUUGUU